UAUCACAGCCACCUUUGAUGAGCUU
rnacentral:ncRNA from 2 species